AACGAACGCUGGCGGCAGGCUUAACACAUGCAAGUCGAACGCCCCGCAAGGGGAGUGGCAGACGGGUGAGUAACGCGUGGGAACGUACCUUUCAGUUCGGAAUAACUCAGGGAAACUUGUGCUAAUACCGGAUACGUCCGUAAGGAGAAAGAUUUAUCGCUGAAAGAUCGGCCCGCGUUGGAUUAGCUAGUUGGUGGGGUAAUGGCCUACCAAGGCGACGAUCCAUAGCUGGUCUGAGAGGAUGAUCAGCCACACUGGGACUGAGACACGGCCCAGGCUCCUACGGGAGGCAGCAGUGGGGAAUAUUGGACAAUGGGCGAAAGCCUGAUCCAGCCAUGCCGCGUGAGUGAUGAAGGCCCUAGGGUUGUAAAGCUCUUUCACCGAUGAAGAUAAUGACGGUAGUCGGAGAAGAAGCCCCGGCUAACUUCGUGCCAGCCGCCGCCGUAA
rnacentral:rRNA from 1 species